rnacentral:rRNA from 1 species
UACGUAGGUGGCAAGCGUUAUCCGGAAUUAUUGGGCGUAAAGCGCGCGCAGGUGGUUUCUUAAGUCUGAUGUGAAAGCCCACGGCUCAACCGUGGAGGGUCAUUGGAAACUGGGAGACUUGAGUGCAGAAGAGGAAAGUGGAAUUCCAUGUGUAGCGGUGAAAUGCGUAGAGAUAUGGAGGAACACCUGCGGCGAAGGCGGGUUGCUGGGCUGACACUGACGCUGAUGCGCGAAAGCUAGGGGAGCGAACGGG